GACGAACGCUGGCGGCGUGCUUAACACAUGCAAGUCGAGCGGAGCGGCGAACGGGUGAGUAACGCGUGAGUAACUGCCCCCCUCUCUGGGAUAACAGUUGGAAAAGGCUGCGAAUACCGGAUAGUGGGGGAUGACUCGCGUCCUAUCAGCUUGUUGGGGGGGUAGUGGACUACCAAGGCGACGACGGUUAGCCGGCCUGAGAGGGCGACCGGCCACAUUGGGCUGGUAUACGUCCCUAACUCCUACGGGCGGCAGCAUUGGGGAUUAUUGCUCUAUGGGGGAAACCCUGAUGCAGCACCGCCGCCUGCGGUAUGUCGGCCUUCGGGUUGUAAGCCGCUUUCAGCCAUGACGCGGUAGUUGCAGAAGAAGCACCGGCUAACUACGUGCCAGCAGCCGCGGUAAUUC
rnacentral:rRNA from 1 species